UCACCCUACCACUUGCGAUUAUCGUAUCGUCGAUACACUUUCGUCUCUCUUCCACAUUCCAUAGUGGAUCGUGGUAGUGUCCUGUCGUGCUGUGUCGUCGCGAUUUCGUGAAAACUUCUACAAGAACAGGCCUACCAAUUUCGAAAUGAUGUCAAGCGACCGACGGCGAUGCUGAAGCGGGCAACGAAGAUGUCCGUUAAAAAGUGCUUAGACUCUGUCAUCUUCCUGGCCGUCUUCCUCUUCAAAGAUAGAGCAUAGUAACUGCGGAAGAGUGGGCGAAACUCACGCAGUUCUAUGAAGUUGACUAUCCCAUUGUCAUAAAAAAGAUUGAUGAAGAUUAUUUAACAAAUCCCGAUAAGUACAAGUUUUUUUUUUAUUACAAAAUAUGUAAAAGAUAUUGAUAUUUACUGAUACUGACGUUAUCCGCGAUAUAGAUUGCGAGCUAGAAUUUUAACUAUGAUGCCAUUACGUAAAUUUAAUGUUUCAUUUUUUUAUAUUUAUCAUUCGCGAUAUUUUGUUAUCGAGCUCUUUUUUUUGUUCUCAUUCAUCUGUUUCGAAGCACUUGAUUGGAUCGUUUAAUAUUUUUGUCGGAUAUUAAGAUGAUAAUGCUUUGAUUUAAUUAAUAAAAAAUAUUUACAAUGAUAUCGUAAUUCUUUAGAAACGAUUCUUCUCUACCGACUUUUGGCUAAAUAGCAUCGCUAUUAGUAAAGUUUCUAAUUCGUCCGAACUAUGCGCUUAACUAUAUGGCUAUUCAAAUUUAGCCGACCGAAUAUUACACGAUUCUAUGCAUAUGUGCCAUUGAAAAUAUAAUAUAAUUUUACAUAUUUUGAUAUAUCAUCCUCUUCUUCUUAGAUGAGGGUAAACUCUGUAAUUUUCGAGUGUCUAAUGUUCUUCCUAAAAAAUUGGUUUUUACGAAAAUUCGAGAGUUUGUACAAAAAUCCGUUCAGCGUUUAAAUAGUCUAAUCGGUAUUUUUUGUUUUAUUGUUUUAUUUUUCAUUAUUUUUAUUAAACGUCCCUCACUUAUUCUAUCCAUGGAUAUUUCAUUCGCGUUUUCUUUUGUUAUCUAAUAUACUGUAUCCUGAAUUUUAUAUUUAUGCUUUAAUUUUAUCAUUUCUCACUCUGUAGUUCAGAGUGACAAACGUAUAAUCUAUCUCAAUAUUUUCAUUUUUAUUCUUAAAAUUUUUGUUUAAUUAUGUAUGUUUUGUUGGCUUAAAUAUGAAUUUCUUUGAUAAUGUAUCGAUUGUUUUAUAUAAUAUCAAGAUAAUUGAAAGAGAAUAUCUGUUCUAUUAUUUGAUUAUUGACUGCCAGCUUGUAUCGGAUCAGCUUCUUCAGCAUUGUCAUUAACAUUAUUUUAAUUUUUUAUAUUUGCGUAUUGAAUUUAUUAGCUUGUUGGUUAAAUCUGAAGAAAUCGCUGCUAUCGUAGAUCUCAUGCUCGUUCUCAGCGAUAAGGACGACAUUAUUCGUACAUUAUAAUAUUUUCAUAUUUACAUUGCUGAGUCUAUAACCUUCUACGCUAUUUAUAAUUUGAUCUAUUUACAACGUUGAGCAAAACCAAAAUCAAAACAUCUCUUUGACCUGUUGUUAUUGGAAUUUCUUCAUCUGCUAUAUUUAUCGAAGUAUUUCCUCGUGUCGCGUAUAAACUUUUUUGUAAUGUUACUUUUAUAGUAAUGUUACUGUUCUGCUAGUUGAUUUCCCUUUGUAAUUUCAAUUUCUGAAAAUUUUCUGUUCUAAACUUUUGAUAUAGUGCUCUUUACUUCAUCUAUGGAUUUUGGAAUCUGUCAUUUUGUAAAAUAUUAGGAACAUUUUCGCGUUUGCAUGAUUGCAAUCGAAAUUAAAACGAUACAUUAUACACAUUUUAUUCAUACUU